AUGUAAAAAAAUGAAGGGUAAUCAAUCUUAGAUCAAAGACAUGAAGAUAAUUAAUAGUUCUACAAGUAACAGAGUGAAUUUCAUAGAAAAUAAUUUCUUUUCCUCAGAGAUAAAUAAGAGUUGGCUUACUAUUAUCCAACAAACCAGUCUACACACACACACACACACACAUAUAUAUAUAUAUCUAGUAAUAUACUCUAUAGUAAAAGCACACACUUGUCACGCAAUUUCCAGGUAUAUCACGCAUCGUAUCACGCGAUCACGUCCCUAAUCUACAGGUACCACAUCAUUGUAUGUAAUCAGUACAGAUAUAGGGCCAGAGAAACGAUAUUGUUGCAGCGCAACUAAUAGAUCUAUUGGCCCUUAACGCGCGAUCGAUACAGAGUCCCUUUCAUUAAGGAAAAGUUCCAUUUGACAUGAUACACUGAUUUUAUUUUUUAAAAUUCCACACUAUGGAAGAUUACUUUCAUCCAUAGAUUAUGAAAGAUUAAAAGUCCUUGAGUUGGUAAAGACAAUAAAAUUUUAAUUAAGUUAUAUACGAAAAGUAGUUUCGAAACAGU
rnacentral:lncRNA from 1 species